rnacentral:tRNA from 1 species
AAUGAAGUGCCUGAAAAAGGGCUAUUUUGAUAGAAUAGAUCAUAUAACAUCUACGUUAUCUUCAUUA